rnacentral:rRNA from 1 species
AGCUAAUACCGCAUAACGUCGCAAGACCAAAGAGGGGGACCUUCGGGCCUCUUGCCAUCGGAUGUGCCCAGAUGGGAUUAGCUAGUAGGUGGGGUAACGGCUCACCUAGGCGACGAUCCCUAGCUGGUCUGAGAGGAUGACCAGCCACACUGGAACUGAGACACGGUCCAGACUCCUACGGGAGGCAGCAGUGGGGAAUAUUGCACAAUGGGCGCAAGCCUGAUGCAGCCAUGCCGCGUGUAUGAAGAAGGCCUUCGGGUUGUAAAGUACUUUCAGCGGGGAGGAAGGGAGUAAAGUUAAUACCUUUGCUCAUUGACGUUACCCGCAGAAGAAGCACCGGCUAACUCCGUGCCAGCAGCCGCGGUAAUACGGAGGGUGCAAGCGUUAAUCGG